CCGCCUCCACAGCUGACCACACACAAGGAGAAAUAAUUGCAGGAGCAAAACAACUUCUUGUCAAAGCAGGCAAAUGGACCCUUAGGCAAAGUGGAUGGAAGAGAUGGUGGUGAUGCGAACUUGUUCAUACCAUCUUGGCUGGUUUGUCUCAUUAGUAAAUAAUGACUAAGGAGAGGAAACUUCUUUUUGCUUUCAAGCCAGAAAAGUUAUUUGUCAAAAUAAUUAUGUUUUUAAUUUUGUUUUAUUCAGCGCCAAACAUGCCCAUCUUAAUGAGGUAGGUAUUAUGUGCAUGAUACUAUGUAUUUCGUGUUUGCGAUGCUAAUUAAAUUGUUGAUAAGAAAAUACUUGACACUUUCAUAUAGUACUUUAAUACCAAAAGAAAAAGAAAGUGUCUUAUGUGAGUUCUGUUUUUGGCUGGUGCGUAACUCUUAUUUCAAGGCCAACGUAUGAGGCUGUUUAUUUGUAUGUUUCAUUUGAAAGCUUACUUCUGCAUUUUGGUUGAUGGCCUUGGAGUAAAGCAAAUACAUGGAUUUCUUUCUGAAGACUUUUAUUCAAAGAAAAACUAGGAUCAGUGAGUUCUUGCUAUGUAUGCGUGUUCUUUAUUUACUUAAAGCAUUUGGAUUAAUAGUGAGUAUUUUACACAUUGAAUCCAGAACUCCCAUGUAACAUUUUUAUGUCAAUUUUAGUUCUAGUGCUAUGUCAACCUUGAUUUGAUGUGUGAAGCCCAUGCCUAGACCUAUGUAAUGACCAAAGUCAUGAAAUUGAUGCAAAAUAGGUAAAAAGGGGAACUAAAUGAGUUGAAGAGAUGUGAGAGUUUGGUCUAUAAUGGAUUGGAAGAAGUAUAAGGAGGCAAGUGAAAGGAACAGGGGUUAUUGGCUUGAGGAUGCAGUGGAAAUCUCAUGUAGUAAGAGCUUUAGUUAUUAGUAUAGAUUCUAUUUAAUAGGAACUUCGGUCGGUUAUUGAAAUUAAUGACCUUACAAGGAUAUAAUGGUAUCCUUUGCAAACUUAUCUUAACAGAUUUAUAAAUAUGUCUUCACAGUUUUUUGUCUCAAUUAUGUGCUUGUCUUUUUUUUUUUUUUUUUGGGUUAAAAAGAAGCAUUCCCGAGAAGGGGAAAGAAUGAUCAAUGCCUUGUAUAUUUUGCAAUGAAAGACACUGGGACUUGCAUUUUGAUAUGUCAUAUGAAUGAUUUAGCAGUCAUAUAUUGUGCUACUUCUUGUUGUUUCAUUUUGCUUACAUGAGGUUUGCCCUAUGCAACUACCAUGAUAAUCCUGCAGAGCUGUCGAAUGAGUUGUGCAGGUCCAUUUGUGCUCCUUCCAUCCAUUGCUAAUAUUUGCCGUUCAUUUAACAGAAAAUUCCGGAUCACACUGAUUAAAAAUUAGUUGAGCAUCGAACUCCAGACAUUGUUCUUACAAGCAGAACUAGAGUUUACAGUAUUGGAAACAGGAAAGAUAGAUUUCAUCGGAAAUGGAGCGCCUUUGUUGCAGAUCAUAACCUCCAAGAUAGAGACGUUCUACUCUUUCUUCCUCAAUCUCACACUUUGUUUGCUUUGUUAAUCUUUGAAACCUAUGGAAUAGAAAUUAUUUACCCCUGGCAUCACAUGUUCAUGAUUUAAAUAUUAUGUUUGUAGAUUCUGAAUUAUCAGUGAAAUUGGUCGUCCGAUGUAAUGAAAUGAUUUGUGGUUCGUACUUAAGAAUGACUUCAGUAGAUUUAACCUUUUUCCA